rnacentral:rRNA from 1 species
AGUGAACGCUGGCGGCGUGCCUAAUACAUGCAAGUCGAACGGAGUGGCGCACGGGUGAGUAAUGUAUAGCUAAUCUGCCCUACACUAGAUGACAACAGUUGGAAACGGCUGCUAAUCCUCUAUAGUGUAGUAUGCGGCGAUAUUGUAUCAGCUAGUUGGUGAGGUAAUGGCUCACCAAGGCUAUGAGGAAUAACUGGUCUGAGAGGAUGAUCAGUAACACUGGAACUGAGACACGGUCGAGAAUCCUACGGGAGGGAGCAGUAGGGAAUAGUGCUCAAGGGGGGAAAGCCUGAAGCAGCAACGCCGCGUGGAGGAUGACACUUUUCGGAGAGUAAACGCCUUUUGUUAGGGAAGCGGUACCUAACGAAUAAGCACCGGCUAACUCCGUGCCAGCAGCCGCGGUAAUUC